UACAGAGGUGGCUAGCGUUGUUCGGAAUUACUGGGCGUAAAGGGCGCGUAGGCGGCUUGGUCAGUCCCGUGUGAAAUCCCUCGGCUCAACUGAGGAACUGCACGGGAAACUGCCUGGCUUGAGUUCGGGAGAGGGAAGCGGAAUUCCGGGUGUAGCGGUGAAAUGCGUAGAUAUCCGGAGGAACACCAGUGGCGAAGGCGGCUUCCUGGACCGACACUGACGCUGAGGCGACGAAAGCUAGGGGAGCAAACGGG
rnacentral:rRNA from 1 species